AUGCUCUGUUUGGCAGCACAUAUAUACAAUUAGAAAGAUAGAAGAUUAGCAUAGCCCCUGUGCAAGGACACACAAAUUUGUUAAGGAUUUUAUAGUUUU
rnacentral:snRNA from 1 species